AACGUAGGAGACAAACGUUAUCCGGAGUUACUGGGCGUAAAGGGCGUGUAGGUGGUUUCGUAAGUCUGGCGUGAAAUUUUUCGGCUUAACCGGGAAAGGUCGUCGGAUACUGCGGAACUAGAGGACGGUAGAGGCGUGUGGAAUUCCGGGUGUAGUGGUGAAAUGCGUAGAGAUCCGGAGGAACACCAGUGGCGAAGGCGCCUUGCUGGCCGAUUUCUGACGCUGAGGCGCGAAAGCGUGGGGAGCAAACGGG
rnacentral:rRNA from 1 species